rnacentral:rRNA from 1 species
UACAGAGGGGGCAAGCGUUGUUCGGAAUUACUGGGCGUAAAGGGCGCGUAGGCGCCUUCUAAGUCGAACGUGAAAUCCCCGGGCUCAACCCGGGAACUGCGUCCGAUACUGGAAGGCUUGAAUUCGGGAGAGGGAUGCGGAAUUCCAGGUGUAGCGGUGAAAUGCGUAGAUAUCUGGAGGAACACCGGUGGCGAAGGCGGCAUCCUGGACCGGCAUUGACGCUGAGGCGCGAAAGCCAGGGGAGCAAACGGG